UAAGUAAUCCAGGUGGCUGCCCCGAUAGAAAUAUCGGGGAGGAAAGUCCGAACAUCCCCCGCGCAAGCGGGGACUCGGUAGUCGCUAACAGCGACCUAAGCUAUCCUCUUACCGUCACAACGAGAGGGAGGGAGAAAUUUCUUGUUGAGAUUGUUAAGGGGAAAACCUUACGGGAAAGUGCCGCAUGGAGGUAAUACUCCAUACGGUUUCGCCCCCGCGCAAGCGGAGGAGAAGCAACAGAAAAGUCCUCGAAAGAGGAGUUCCGCCUAGCGGAAUAAGAUACCGCCCACAUCUAAUUAGAUGGGGGUAAGGAUGAAAAGGUGCGGAAGCCAAUAAACGGCCGACUCCUGAUACAUAGGGGUGCAGAAUCCGAACCAGUAUGCUUUGAGCGAAUCAUUUUCAUGUCAUAUUCAUGCUCCGCGCGAAGCGACACGAUGCGAACCAUCGUUAGCGACAAGUGGGUGUGAAGAUGACAUGAAAAUGGUUUGCCCGAAGGGAGGUCAAAAACCGGCCGAUUUCUUUGUCACUGACCCCUCACAGUAUAUCAUCAUACUGCUUCAGAGUCAGUUUCGCGAAAUCGCCUCGGUUUUGAACCUCUCAAGACAUACUGGUUUGAAUUCUGCACCCCAAAGCUCUCUCCGAUGUUCUUUAGAUCAUCUCACUUCAAAACGUAUCAUGAGGUAAGAGCGCACCAGUGCCUCAGUGAUGAGGUAGCUUGGCAAACACCUACCAGAUGCAAGAGCAAUGUCGCUCGCUUGACUCUUCCAGUAAUGGAAGAGCUAGAUAGAUAGUCACCGCCGAUUUUAUUACGAACAAAGUGAGUAAUAUGAAACCGAGUAUUCUCGAUUUCAUAUACUCGCGUUCGCUCGUACGAAAUCGGAACAGAAUUCGGCUUAUAGGAUUGCUUAGUGU
rnacentral:RNase_P_RNA from 1 species